GGAGGAUUAGCCUUGAUGUUACCAUAUCACCUGAUUUUCCUAAUGAAUUCAAGAAUCCAGACUUUUAAGAAGGUGUUUGUGUGUGUGUGUGUGUGUGUGUGUGUGUGUGUGUGUGUGAGAGAGAGAGAGAGAGAGAGAGAGAGAGAGAGUGUGUGUGUGUUAAUGGGCAUCAUUUUCAUGCAGGUACCUGAGGAAGACAGAAGGCAUCAAAUAUCAAAUUCCCAGGACCCUGAGUUACAAGCAUUCGUGAGCCAUCUGAGGAAUUGCCAACGACACGGGCAGAACAAAAAGGAUUUUCUUUGUGCCCUCUUCACACCCUUCUGAACCAAUACCUUUGGAGCAAAAUGCAGAGUAGCCCCCAGGGUCCUGAGGUUACAAUCUAUGAGUUUCUCUCUUUUUUUGAGUUAGCCUGAAAUUAUUCAGUUCACUUAACACUUCAAAUGAGGCACUCUUUCAAGUUCCUCCUGUGGAGCCCUUAUGAGGUUGAAAUGCACUGGGCCUCACUCAGGGAUCAGCAAUGGCUUUUGUCUCUGGCCUGGACUGCAGGGAUCUGGCUGUGCCUAGAUGUGAAGAGGCAAUGCACAGUAAGGAAGAAGGCACAUGUGCGGGCGUGCAAGCUUGGGCAGGUGCACAUGGAGCCAGCAAGGAUUCUCCAGGGAGCCACCAUCACCCUGAUAUCCAGCGGGAGCUGGUCUGAGCUACGUUACUCCCAAGCCCUGCUAGCUGGCUCCCCAGGAAAGCAAGAACUCACACAAAUGACUCUUGGGCGUUUGUGGAAGAGCUGAGUCCUCAUCACUUCCUGUGGGCCUUUCUGAGCAUAAUAAGAUCCUCUCUCUUGCAUCAGCCAACCCAGGAGCUGCUGAUAAACCAUGGCACAAGCUUGAGCCAGAGUUGACCUUAACCAUUGACAGCCCACUGAGCACUCAUCAUGUGCUAAGCAUUAUCUCAUUAAACCUUCACCACAAUCCUGCAAGGUAGGUGCUGUGUUACCCCAUUUUACAGAUGAGGGGAACCAAGGCCUACAGUUCCACAGCAG
rnacentral:lncRNA from 1 species